rnacentral:rRNA from 1 species
AAUAGAUACCCCUGGUAGUCCACGCCGUAAACGAUGAGUGCUAGGUGUUGGGGGGGACCACCCUCAGUGCCGCAGGUAACCCAAUAAGCACUCCGCCUGGGGGAGUACGGUCGCAAGACUGAAACUCAAAGGAAUUGACGGGGGGCCCGCACAAGCGGUGGAGCAUGUGGUUUAAUUCGAAGCAACGCGAAAAGGAAACCCCUUUUAACCCAAGGGGGGCCUUUGGACAUCCCCGCUGACCGGUGUAGAGAUAUGCCUUUCCCCUUCGGGGGACAGCGGUGACAGGUGGUGCAUGGUUGUCGUCAGCUCGUGUCGUGAGAUGUUGGGUUCAGUCCCGCAACGAGCGCAACCCCUAUUUCUAGUUGCCAGCAUUUUGGAUGGGCACUCUAGAGAGACAGCCGGUGAAAGCCGGAGGAAGGUGGGGAUGACGUCAAAUCAUCAUGCCCCUUAUGUCCUGGGCCACACACGUGCUACAAUGGCUGGCACAAAGGGUAGCCAACCCGCGAGGGGGAGCCAAUCCCAGAAAGCCAGUCUCAGUUCGGAUUGCAGGC